UGAUCGUUUAAAUGUUUGGGAAAUCGAUGUUUAAACGAUCCCUUAGAAAUAACGAUAUCAUUUGGACAAGAAUGAUAUUGUCGAGCGAUUGUGAUAAUAUCGUUUAAAAAGCUAGAAUCCGUUAAUCGAUUGAGAGAUUGCAGCUAUUACGCUUGGUUGAUGUCUCUGACCGCAAGCGAAAUAGCCCUAUCUCUUCUCGUUUUACUUUUAUGUCGAAUAGGAAAAUAGUUUUACAAAAACAAACAAU
rnacentral:lncRNA from 1 species